UGCCAGCCGCCGUGGUAAUACGGAAGGUGCAAGCGUUAAUCGGAAUCACUGGGCGUAAAGCGCGCGUAGGCGGCUUGGUAAGUCAGAUGUGAAAGCCCCGGGCUCAACCUGGGAAUUGCAUUUGAUACUGUCAAGCUAGAGUGUGGGAGAGGGAAGUGGAAUUCCGCGUGUAGCGGUGAAAUGCGUAGAGAUGCGGAGGAACACCAGUGGCGAAGGCGACUUCCUGGACCAACACUGACGCUCAGGUGCGAAAGCGUGGGGAGCAAACAGGAUUAGAUA
rnacentral:rRNA from 1 species